GAUGAACGCUGGCGGUAUGCUUAACACAUGCAAGUCGAACGGCCUCUUCGGAGUUAGUGGCGGACGGGUGAGUAACGCGUGAGAAUCGGGCUUUGGGUUUGGGACAACCACCUGAAAGGGUGGCUAAAACCGGCUGUGCCGAGACGAAAAAGAGAAAUUGCCUGAAGAUGCGAUCGCGUCUGAAUAGCUAGUUGGUGAGUUAAAGGCUCACCUAGGUAGCGAUCAGUAGCUGGUCUGAGAGGAUGACCGGCCACGAUGGGACUGAGACGCGGCCCAGACGCGUGGGGGAGGCAGCAGUGGGGAAUGUUCCGAAAUGGCCGAGUGGCUGACAGAGCAAUUCCGCUUGAGAGAGGAAGGUUCUUGGGUUGUAAACCUAUUUUCUUAGGGAAGGACAAAAUGACGGUACCUAAUGAAUAAGCAUCGGCUAACUCCGUG
rnacentral:rRNA from 1 species